rnacentral:RNase_P_RNA from 1 species
CGGAGGGCCGGAUGGCCGCGGGUCGAAAGACGCGAGGAAAGUCCGGACUCCCUGAAGCAACGGUGCCGGGUAACGCCCGGGCAGGGCAACCUGACGGAUAGCGCCACAGAAAACAAACCGCCUUGGGUUUCCAAGGUCAGGGUGAAACGGUGGGGUAAGAGCCCACCGGGCCGCUGGCAACAGGGGCCGCAUGGCAAGCCCCACCGGGAGCAAUGCCGAAUAGGGACCUCGCGCGGGGCAUGAUCCUUCGGGAUAUCGCCGCAGGGCCGCUUCAGCCCAGAGGUCCGGGUUGGCAGCUUGAGGCGCGUAGCAAUGCGCGCCCUAGAGGAAUGGUCAUCCCCCGCAAGGGGACAAAAUCCGGCUUACAGGCCCUCCG